GAAGGUAGGAAAAAAUUCAAUUAAUCAGUCAUAUCUCCAUUUUUAGAAGGUAGAGUGAUGGAAAGUCUUCCCUUGUGUCUCAGCAAAGGUACUGGAAAGGCCAACUUGGCUUGUUGAUUUGGAGAAUAUCUGGUUAAUGGAUAGUUAUGUACUGUUGAAGGGGACACUCCUCUGGUACACUAUUGCAUGCCUGGAAUUCCAUGGUAUUCUUUGUGAUGUCACUAGUGUUAUGGAAACAGAAGCUGCCCUUGUGGUAUUUUGUUAAUGCUUAUUGUUUUAGACACAGACAUGUUUUCUAGGAUUAUCGAGUUAUUUACAGGAAAAACAGAGUGCAUGGAGAGAUGAGAGAGAAAAAAAAAUGAUAUUAGGACUUCUUUCUUGUUAUAAAUAUGCAAAAUAAAUAAUCUGGUGUAAAGCAGAGAGAGUAAGCCCUGAGCCAGUACUGGGGAACUUCCUGGAGAAGCUGUGCUUGGGUCAGACCUUCUAGGAGCAGGACUUAUGGUCUGAAACAUCUGGACUUUUAAAGAAGGGACCAAGCGUCAAGAAUAUCUGAUGAAUAUUUGGCAGACAGCCAGAAAUUGACAAGCAUGCAGGUCUGCUGGGAAGGCAUCAUGCCAACCUUCCACCAUCAAUGAGCAAGUUCAGCAGAUUAAGAAGUAGGAGAAACUGACUAUUGAGCUCAAGAAGAAAACCUAAAAGCAGAAGCUGUGUUUGAAUAACAGACGAGAUAUGGCAAGCAGUGUGUGAGCUCUCAUCCUGGAUUUUAAUAGAGAGAGAUGCAUUUUCUGUCCUCAGAGGAACACAGAAAGUUGGUCAGCUACAGAAGCACA